AUUGAACGCUGGCGGCAGGCUUAACACAUGCAAGUCGAACGGUAGCAGGAGAAAGCUUGCUUUCUUGCUGACGAGUGGCGGACGGGCGAGUAAUGCUUGGGAAUCUGGCUUAUGGAGGGGGAUAACGACGGGAAACUGUCGCUAAUACCGCGUAUUAUCGGAAGAUGAAAGUGCGGGACUGAGAGGCCGCAUGCCAUAGGAUGAGCCCAAGUGGGAUUAGGUAGUUGGUGGGGUAAAGGCCUACCAAGCCUGCGAUCUCUAGCUGGUCUGAGAGGAUGACCAGCCACACUGGAACUGAGACACGGUCCAGACUCCUACGGGAGGCAGCAGUGGGGAAUAUUGCGCAAUGGGGGGAACCCUGACGCAGCCAUGCCGCGUGAAUGAAGAAGGCCUUAGGGUUGUAAAGUUCUUUCGGUAUUGAGGAAGGUUGAUGUGUUAAUAGCACAUCAAAUUGACGUUAAAUACAGAAGAGCACCGGUAU
rnacentral:rRNA from 1 species